rnacentral:rRNA from 1 species
UACGGGGGGGGCAAGCGUUGUUCGGAAUUAUUGGGCGUAAAGGGCUCGUAGGCGGUCCGUCACGUCGGGAGUGAAAACUCGGGGCUCAACCCCGAGCCUGCUUCCGAUACGGGCGGACUAGAGGUAGGUAGGGGAGAACGGAAUUCCUGGUGUAGCGGUGGAAUGCGCAGAUAUCAGGAGGAACACCGGUGGCGAAGGCGGUUCUCUGGGCCUUACCUGACGCUGAGGAGCGAAAGCGUGGGGAGCGAACAGG